AAAUUAAGAGUACAAACAGUCAUCCCAUUUACCAAGUAUUAGUUCAACAAAGGAAAUGAAAGUGUCAAAAAGCUUCAAGGAGAACUCACUUAUAUAUGUCAUCAAUGUCAGAAAAGAAAAUUUCAACCUAAUGAAUAGAUAUUUUGAGGUGGUCACACUUACGAGUCUACUCAACCUGAUGAAUUAAUAAAAACUAAAUGGACAUUCUAAUUCAAGUGGAUCUCUAAUAAGUCCCUCAGUUCUUCACUAAAAACUAAUUUGACAUAAAAAAAUAGAAUUGCUUUAAUAAGAAACAGGGAGAGCACCUAAAAUGCCAUUUACCAUUCUGUAUGGAAAUAAUUGGUAGCCUAUCGUCUCCUUAUGUUUAUUUUCUAAUCAAAAUUUACAUUGAUCUUGAUUUGUUUUGAGGGAUAAUUUUGGAAAAUCACAAAGCACGACAAAACUUAUGUUCCUACCAAACUUGGUAUACAUAAUAUGUAUAGACAUACAAAUGUUUUGAAACAACAAAAGUAGGAACAAAACAACAUUUUUUUUCUUCAAUACUAACUGGUCAGCAAUUAUUCCUUUUGAGGUCUGGCUAGCCAAUGUCCAAUGUGUGUUUUGCAAAGAUGCAACUGCAUUUAGAUAGUAAGAGAGAAGUACUUUCCCAAUGUUAAUGUUCAUAGUUUUAGAAAAUAAGAUUAAGAAAAUCCCAAAUAUUCCCAUGAUAGACAGGGUGUGUUAUGUUUAUGUGUUCUUUGUAUGUUGCAAAAUGAAAACAAAAAAGUAAAUUAUAAUAAUAAAAAAACAGAAAACGAAAAAAUGUUGCCGGACACCAGCUCUGUUGUCACUGGUACCCUCCCCACUUGGUCUUGGUUUCAUUGUAAAAUCCAGAAAAUGAAACAUCAAUAAUGUCACUGUCUCUACAAUCCCUCCAAACAAGGCCUUAUCAAAACAAAAGGCACAGAAACCUUAUCUUGAAAACUAGAAAUAGCUAUGGUAACAAAAUUAAAAACAUAUCUACAUGGUUGCUUAAACCCAUUUCAGCUGAGAAACAAGAAACAGAGCUUUGAAGCAGAGCAGCCAUGGCAACCUUAAGCAGCCAAUUUCAUAUCACAAGCCAUUCAACUUAUCAAAAUGUCAGAUCAAGGCCGUCUAUCUCUUGUCCAUUGUCUCUCUCAUUUACGUUUUCUCGCAGAAUUAUAGCACUCACUAAUACACAGGAACACUAAGAUAUACAUAUUAUAUAUAUUGGUUAUUAUUCACCAACAAUAUAUAUAUAUAUAUAUAUAUGGAUAGUUAUAAAUGGAGCAGCCAAGAAAAAACAGAAAGGUUUCUCAUUCUUUUCACCCUCAUUUUAUUUCCUUUCAUGACAUGAAGCUUUUGGUGUUUCUAAUCAUUUCUAAUUUGUGCACUUUUUAGAAGGUGUGUGACAUGGAAGAGCCUCUUGAAAUACCCAUAAUGAAUGAUCUCACAAUGGUAUUGGGUUCCAUAUCUCAGGUAAUAACUAUGGAGGUCAGCCAUAACCCUCGAUGCUCGUCUCCCUUUGUCAGCCUCUGUAUGACCAAGCAUUUGGGUGAAGCCUACCCGUUUUUAUGAAUUAUACUAAGUUUGACUUGUACUCUGAUUGUCUAUAACAUGUUGAAGUUUCCAAUGUUUUUGUUAUUCGCCCAAACAAGGGGCGGGAUUGUAUAUGUGUAUAUAAAUAUGUAUCAUUUGAUGCACUGUUUGUGAUCCUGGUAUGGUAGUGGUCGCUCAAUGGAUGUAGUUUCUUUUUAUUUCA